UUCCCGCUUUAAUUCUGGUUUCUGGGCAUAGUGUGCGAGCAACUCCACAUUGAGGUGUGGCAGGAGUGGUGUAGGAGAAGGAUUGUUCGUGCAAGAAAACGCAAUGCAAGCUGCAUCAUCAGGCAUCUCGUAACCCUUAGAUUUCUUACGCUCUCAUUUGCAAGAAGUUUGGUAAUUUGAAAGCACCAUUCUAGAAGCUACAUCCAUGGUUUGGUGCGGAAUAACUGAAACAGAGAGAACAAUCCACUAAUGGCUGAUUCCACUUCGACUGCAACUCCUUCAAACGACACCGAAUCAUGCGUUUUCCAUCGAACGGUCACUUUAUAUGAUUGGUGGUUGAUUAAAGCCACAAACGACUUCCAAGGAAAGCGUUUAGCCGUUGCAGGCGUCUCAUCGAGAAAGGAUGAGGCAAUGCGCGUGUUUGUUUCUGCUCCCGUUAUCGAAAGAUACGACAUGUUUUCUCUCAAGACUGCGGAUGGGAUAUACCUUUUAAUUAGUGGCUUCAUCAACGAGCAGCGCAGUUUUGAAAACGGUUUCGACCCUCAGGUUUUGGACCGAUUUUUAUUUGGCUUCCCUCUGGACUGGGAAAGCCACGCUCUAGAUUUCUCCAAAGAAGAAUCAAUUACGGGGAAUGAUUUGGGUAGUGCUUGUCUUGAUGACGUACCGGCUAGCUGUCCAGAAAUUUUAUCUGAUGUUGCAAUCGCAGGUGUGGAAAAUUGCAUUCCUACUUUUUCUGCAUCAUCGGAAAAGGCGCAGGGUGAUCAUGAAAAGGCAUUCCCUGAAAAUGAAUGCAACGUGUCAAAGGAGGUGGCUGGUGUUAAGGUUACUUCUAGUAGAGCUAGGGAAAGACGAAGUGCCAAGUUGCAUGAUGUUGAAGUAUACCAGGGGAAGAAACCGUCUUCUUCUGGAUUGCCUCCGAAGAAUCCAAAUAAUAAGAACCAUAUUUCAGUGGCGGCCUUAGAUAAUUGUGAUGAAGCGGGACCAAAAAGUCCGGAAACACCUAUUCAGUCACAACCAUGGAGACAACUAGGCUCAUCAUCUGAACAGAUAGUCAAAAAAUCUGCCUCCGUAAUUUCUAGAACAUUGUCACCAAGGACCGAAGGCUGUCAUAAGAAAAAAGUCGGCAGGCCUAAGGGACCACGGAAUAAAUCUGCUUCUGCUGGGAAAAGUUCGCGAUUAAGAGAUCCAAGUUACUUGACCAAGGGAAGCGGACAGAAAAAAUCAACUGUUUCUCCCGAGUCAUCGAGUUUCAGAACAUCCAGAUCUGGCAGAUUGCUUGUACCUCCCUUAGAAUUUUGGCGCAAUCAAAUACCAAUAUAUGAUGCGGAUCAUGUGCUCAAAGAAAUUAAGGAUGGUGCAUCUUUGAUAUCACCUUGUAGGGUUUCUUCAUCAUCAUCGAGCAGGAAGGACUGACUUUGAUUGAGGUGGGAAUGUUGCUGAUGAAGUACAGAAUGAUUAACUGUAGCUGCUUAGAGCCGCUCACCUGUUUCUCUCAUUCUCUCUUCAUCUUUCUUUUCUUUUUUGUGACAUUCGUUUCCUCCCUUCCUCUAUUUUUUUUUCCUUCCAUGCCUGCAUUGUGUGUUUCCAUUCUAAUGUGUUUGAGGUUCAAGUGCGCUGUGAUUUUGGUAUGUUUUGUGCUGUGGUGAUGUAUGUUGCCUAUUGUGUCCAUGAAAUCACAUAAACUAGAAGGCAAAGACAAACAUAGAAGAUCCGUUUGACCUUGAACAAAUGUUAACAUCCGUUGAUUUAGGUUCUCUUCAAUAGGAUCCAUUGCAUGCCUGCCCCCACACUCAGAUUCUCCUUCGCCAUGGCCACCCCUACAACAUGUCAUUUUUUCUAAUAUUUUUCGCAUCAAUAUUUAUA